AGUGAACGCUGGCGGUAGGCCUAACACAUGCAAGUCGAACGGCAGCACAGUAAGAGCUUGCUCUUACGGGUGGCGAGUGGCGGACGGGUGAGGAAUACAUCGGAAUCUACUUUUUCGUGGGGGAUAACGUAGGGAAACUUACGCUAAUACCGCAUACGACCUACGGGUGAAAGCAGGGGAUCUUCGGACCUUGCGCGAUUGAAUGAGCCGAUGUCGGAUUAGCUAGUUGGCGGGGUAAAGGCCCACCAAGGCGACGAUCCGUAGCUGGUCUGAGAGGAUGAUCAGCCACACUGGAACUGAGACACGGUCCAGACUCCUACGGGAGGCAGCAGUGGGGAAUAGUGGACAAUGGGCGCAAGCCUGAUCCAGCCAUACCGCGUGGGUGAAGAAGGCCGUCGGGUUGGAAAGCCCUUUUGUUGGGAAAGAAAAGCAGCAGGUUAAUACCCCGCUGUUCUGACGGUACCCAAAGAAUAAGCACCGGCUAACUUCG
rnacentral:rRNA from 1 species